GAUGAACGCUAGCGGCAGGCCUAACACAUGCAAGUCGAGCGCCCCGCAAGGGGAGCGGCGGACGGGUGAGUAACGCGUGGGAACGUGCCCUCUUCUACGGAAUAGCCUCGGGAAACUGGGAGUAAUACCGUAUACGCCCUUAGGGGGAAAGAUUUAUCGGAGGAGGAUCGGCCCGCGUUGGAUUAGGUAGUUGGUGGGGUAAUGGCCUACCAAGCCGACGAUCCAUAGCUGGUUUGAGAGGAUGAUCAGCCACACUGGGACUGAGACACGGCCCAGACUCCUACGGGAGGCAGCAGUGGGGAAUCUUAGACAAUGGGCGCAAGCCUGAUCUAGCCAUGCCGCGUGAGUGAUGAAGGCCCUAGGGUUGUAAAGCUCUUUCAGCUGGGAAGAUAAUGACGGUACCAGCAGAAGAAGCCCCGGCUAACUCCGUG
rnacentral:rRNA from 1 species